UGGGCAAUCUGCCCUUCACUCUGGGACAAGCCCUGGAAACGGGGUCUAAUACCGGAUAAUACUCCUGCCUGCAUGGGUGGGGGUUAAAAGCUCCGGCGGUGAAGGAUGAGCCCGCGGCUUAUCAGCUUGUUGGUGAGGUAGUGGCUCACCAAGGCGACGACGGGUAGCCGGCCUGAGAGGGCGACCGGCCACACUGGGACUGAGACACGGCCCAGACUCCUACGGGAGGCAG
rnacentral:rRNA from 1 species